rnacentral:lncRNA from 1 species
UGGAAGGAGCAACUCCAAUGGCUUCACCUAAUUCUUGGUUCUAUAAUGCAGAUAGGGAAAUGGAGAGUUUGCCCCAACAGUCACUUCUUCAGUCAACUAAUCUCCAUUUUGGUGAAAGGCCAGACCUCAAAAGUAAGUUUAUCAAAAAAUAUAUCAGUCGUCAUAUAUCAAGUUUAUAUAUUAAUUUGAAAAAUAGAGUAAUAACAUAUUUUAAUCCGUUAAAUUUAACUAAUGGUGUAAAAACAAUUCUAUGGCUUUUUGUAUAUAACUUAAAUCCCAAGAUGAUUUAGCUAUAGAAUCGAUCAAAUUACCUAACUUUUUACUAAUUAAUAGAACUACUGGAGACUCUUACCUGCUACAAUUUGAAGAACUCUCCUUUAAAAAAGUUGUAAAUUUGAUGCAGAGAUUCUUUUUGAGAGGAAAGAAUCAAGUGUUGGAGUACUAGUGUGUGGGCCAAAGAAGAUGAGACAUGAAGUUGCAAACAUUUGUUCCUCUGGU